AUAAAGAAAGCAUGGUGAGUGUAAUAGCACAGACUUUUUUUUUUUUUAAACACAUCAGUUUCCAGUUGGUGUUCUAAAAAGGAACAAUGUGAAACCAACAUGGUGCAUUCUUUCUGCAUUCAGAUUUUCCCCUAAUUUAACUUUCUAAAACCAAGAUCAUUAUAAAUAGCUCCUUAAAAAACAUUUCCCCUUUCUCCUUCCUACAGAUAGAGCAACUGAGGCCCCGAGAGGCAACUGAGACAUUCAGAGUUAUCCCAAUUCUCUCUUCUUUUUAGGACUUAGAAACCAGACUUCUGACCCUUGCUACGUUAUCAAAAUGUCUUCUGUCUCCACAUUUGCUUGCAGGAGGAGAAUGAGAAGAGCAAGACAGGAGCCCAGGGUCUGCCAGAAAAAGCUCUUGGCAGAAUCCUCCCAUAUCAGCAGGUCUGCGAAUUGGCCACAGCAUGGCUGGACAAGGCUUGGACUCCAGGAUCCAAGCCAUAGGUCGGGCUUAGGUCUGCUUCAUCUAUCCUCUUGGGACCGAUGGCUGCCUAUAACAUGGUCGUCUCACAGAGAAGAGCAGAAGUGGAAGAGCUAACCCAAAAUGCAUGAGGACACAAGUUUC